rnacentral:piRNA from 1 species
UACAGCAUCUGAUGCCAAGGUUUUGG